rnacentral:rRNA from 1 species
CCUACGGGAGGCAGCAGUGGGGAAUAUUGCACAAUGGGGGAAACCCUGAUGCAGCGACGCCGCGUGAGUGAAGAAGUAUUUCGGUAUGUAAAGCUCUAUCAGCAGGGAAGAAAAAAGACGGUACCGGACGAAGAAGCCCCGGCUAACUACGUGCCAGCAGCCGCGGUAAUACGUAGGGGGCAAGCGUUAUCCGGAUUUACUGGGUGUAAAGGGAGCGUAGACGGAGAAGCAAGUCGGAAGUGAAAGCCCGUGGCUGAACCACGGGACUGCUUUGGAAACUGUUUGACUAGAGUGCUGGAGAGGUAAGUGUACUUCCUAUUGUAGCGGUUCCAUUCGUCGAUAUUAGGUG